rnacentral:sRNA from 1 species
CUGGCAUCGAUGAAGAACGCAGCGAAAUGCGAUAAGUAAUGUGAAUUGCAGAAUUCAGUGAAUCAUCGAAUCUUUGAACGCACAUUGCGCCCGCCAGUAUUCUGGCGGGCAUGCCUGUUCGAGCGUCAUUUCAACCCUCAAGCCCCAGCGGCCUGGUGUUGGGGACCGGCGACCUCGCUGACGCCCUUCUUGGGCCCAGCGUCCGCCGCCCCCGAAAUGAAUUGGCGGUCUCGUCGCGGCCUCCUCUGCGUAGUAGCACAACCUCGCAACAGGAGCGCGACGCGGCCACUGCCGUAAAACGCCCAACUUUUUUAGAGUUGACCUCGGAUCAGGUAGGAAUACCCGCUGAACUUAA